CAGCCAGAAGAGAACGGAGUCCUGGGCAUGGUUUGAAGAUCUGAGUAAGAUCUCAACCCUCCCCACCCCCAGUGAUACACCUCCUUCAACAAGGCCCCACUCUAACAAGGACCAAGAAUGACACAGCAGUGUAAACCACCCAGCAUAAUCCCAGCUCUAGGACAACCCUGAUGACUUAGUGGAACUCUAAGGAAGUCUGGGUUUAACCAGCUGGCUGUGUGGCCUUGUUUCCUCUGUUCUCCCACAAUAAAGCUCCACCUUCAGAUCCACAAA